AGUGAACGCUGGCGGUAGGCCUAACACAUGCAAGUCGAACGGCAGCACAGUAAGAGCUUGCUCUUACGGGUGGCGAGUGGCGGACGGGUGAGGAAUACAUCGGAAUCUACUUUUUCGUGGGGGAUAACGUAGGGAAACUUACGCUAAUACCGCAUACGACCUACGGGUGGAAGCAGGGGAUCUUCGGACCUUGCGCGAUUGAAUGAGCCGAUGUCGGAUUAGCUAGUUGGCGGGGUAAAGGCCCACCAAGGCGACGAUCCGUAGCUGGUCUGAGAGGAUGAUCAGCCACACUGGAACUGAGACACGGUCCAGACUCCUACGGGAGGCAGCAGUGGGGAAUAUUGGACAAUGGGCGCAAGCCUGAUCCAGCCAUACCGCGUGGGUGAAGAAGGCCUUCGGGUUGUAAAGCCCUUUUGUUGGGAAAGAAAAGCAGCAGGUUAAUACCCCGCUGUUCUGACGGUACCCAAAGAAUAAGCACCGGCUAACCUCGUG
rnacentral:rRNA from 1 species